AUGAUGUGCAUGGUGCAGGCGACGAGGAACACCAUGAGGAUCAGCACGCGGAACUUGCGGACCAGGAGCAUUUUCAUGGCCAGGGCGGCGGGGAUCACAACAAACAGGGAAAACUGGCUCUUGGAGAGAAACCGGCAUCAGACACAGGCGCUGAUUAAAUAAAAUAAAAAAAAAUAUAUGGGGAGGAGGAGAGGGAAAAGAAAAAUAUUAAGAAAACCUGUGCGGAAAGGCGACAGAAGAAAAAAAAUCAUCCAUAAUAUUUGGCUGUGCUGGAAACGCUGACUCCUUUCCCUUGUAUUUGAGCAGUGAUGCAGCAGAAGCGCUCCCCGCUCGUUCUUGCUCCUUCUCUUCGCUCAGACUCUUUAAGAACAUUGGCUGGAAAAUCAUUUUCUUACAGCAGUUCCAGUUUCUUCAUCCAUUGCGUCCAGUGCUUGGGGAAGAUUAGUAUGUUCAACUGAGAUCGAGUCUGGGUGGCUGCUGUAUCCGAGCUGGGCUUGUGCUUUGGCUUAGGUUGGUUUUUUUUGGCUGCAAAACUGUCUGAUGGCACAACUGCAACAUAAAGGUUAAAUAUGGCACAGGAAAAAAAAAGGAAAGAGCGGGGAGAAGGAAGGAUUAGAGGAAAGAAACUAAUAUAAAUCAGUAGAGGUUCUUUUUAGUGAAGAGGUCUUUGAUCUCUGCUGGGUCUUACAGAUCUUUUAAAGAGAGAGAGAGAAAGGAAGAGAGAAGGGGGGAGAGAAGGGAAAAGCGGGGAGAGAUCUUUGGCAGGUGCAGAGUGAAAACCUCUUUCAGCUACACUGAAUUCUGGAGACUGGUUGGACUAGUAGCUCUGCAGCUCCAGCUUUCAGUGGGUGUGUUAAAUAUUAUGAGCGAGCCAUGAUUCCUGCCUUCCUCACGUCAUAGUUAGGAGAUUGGCUAAAUAAACGCUACAGUGAUAGUAACAGGAAAACCUCAACCAAAAGAGGGUUUUUUUUCCCUCCUCUCCUCCCUCCUUCCCACCCCCCCUUUUCAUUCUACUGCAGCUCCAACUGGGGCAAGGAGAGGGCGUCUGUUCCACAAAGGUUUGG